AGUAGUAUAGUGACAUUACGAAUCUAAUCAAUGUUGAAGAUAGAAUUGAUGGAAUAAAUCUUGGUUUUCAUUAAGGAAUAAAUGAGAAUACAGGGAGAGGGAAGCUGGCGUAGGGACGAAGCGAAACUUGGCCGCUUUUGUCUAUUCGCCAUCUCUAAAUUAACGAAUGCAUCAUUCAAAACCCAACCCAACAUGUAUGUAUUUGUAUGUAUAAACUGUUUUCUUUUUUAACUGUUGCCCCCAAAUAAACCAUAACGUCCAAUCCAAAACAAACAACUGUCCUCCUCCUCCGAUUUCCAGCACGACACCAUCGGGAUUUGCUUUCCCCUUUCUCUAUCUAUCCAUCUGUUUCCGUCCUCUUCCUCUUAAUUAUCUCUUUUUUUUUUUAUUUUUUGAUCUUUGGCCCCUUAGAAUCAUCCAUAUUUCGUUUCUAAAUCCUUCCAUGGCUACCCUUUCAGCUAGCCCUAGCCCUAACCCUAACCCUAACUUCCGUUCCCCAACAGACCAAACCGACCAUGACCCGGAAUCUCUACCUCAAAUGGAGCUUCAUCCUUCUUCUGACCAGGAGCCCACCCCCAACUCUAACCGUAAUUUCCACGCCGUUCUUCCGACUCCACCCGAGGCGACUGCUCCUGCAGCGGCGGCAGCGCCCUCUCUUCUCCACAUCUCCUUCAACCAGGACCACGGUUGCUUCGCCGCCGGGAUUGAUCAUGGCUUCCGGAUUUACAAUUGCGAUCCAUUCCGCGAGAUAUUUCGCCGGGAUUUCGAUCGUGGGGGAGGCAUCGGAGUCGUUGAGAUGCUUUUCCGGUGCAAUAUUUUGGCUCUUGUUGGCGGUGGACCUGACCCGCAAUACCCACCCAAUAAGGUUAUGAUAUGGGACGAUCAUCAGAGCCGAUGCAUCGGCGAGCUUUCGUUCCGUUCCGAAGUAAGAUCGGUUCGGCUUCGGAGGGAUCGAAUCGUAGUCGUUUUGGAACAAAAGAUUUUCGUCUACAAUUUCGCGGAUUUGAAGCUGUUGCACCAGAUUGAGACUAUCGCGAAUCCUAAGGGACUCUGCGCGGUGUCUCAGGGGGCUGGGUCCUUGGUUUUGGUUUGCCCUGGAUUGCAAAAGGGGCAAGUUAGGGUGGAGCAUUACGCCUCGAAGAGGACCAAGUUUAUCAUGGCUCAUGAUUCAAGAAUUGUGUGCUUCGCGCUUUCGCAGGACGGGCAGUUGCUUGCUACCGCUAGCUCGAAAGGGACGCUGGUUCGAAUUUUUAAUACUGUUGAUGGUAGCUUGCUGCAAGAGGUAAGAAGGGGGGCAGAUAGAGCUGAAAUUUAUAGUUUGGCGUUCUCUUCAAAUGCCCAGUGGUUAGCAGUUUCAAGUGACAAAGGCACAGUCCAUGUUUUCAGCCUUAAGAUUAAUGGUGGAUCUCCAGGUAUUGACAGGUCACAAAGUGCUUCCGACCCUGUUACAUCACCCCAUUCCUCUCUUUCUUUUAUCAAAGGUGUGUUACCCAAGUACUUCAGUUCAGAGUGGUCAGUGGCUCAAUUCCGCCUGGUUGAAGGUUCUCAGUACAUUGUUGCUUUUGGUCAUCAAAAGAAUACAGUGGUAAUUCUUGGCAUUGAUGGAAGCUUCUACCGAUGCCAAUUUGACCCGGUGAAUGGUGGGAAAUGACCCAGCUGGAAUAUCACAACUUUCUGAAGCCUGAGGCAGCUUUCUAAUGUGCUGCAUUUAUUUAAAAUAAUUUUCUAUUUAUCGGGCAUAUAAAUAUAUUGUAUAUUUUAAGGUUCUACCACCUUUUCCCUAAUUUGCCUAAUGUAUUCUUAAUUUGUAAAUAUACAAAACUAUAUAUAGAUUUGUAUAGUUUGUAACAGUGUACCCAAAAGAUAUUUUAUAUAUAAACACCUGUUCAUUUCAUUGUUUAA